UACGUAGGGUGCGAGCGUUAAUCGGAAUUACUGGGCGUAAAGCGUGCGUAGGCGGUUCGUUAAGUUCGUUGUGAAAGCCCCGGGCUCAACCUGGGAAUGGCAAUGGAAACUGGCGAGCUGGAGUAUGGCAGAGGGGGGUGGAAUUCCGCGUGUAGCAGUGAAAUGCGUAGAGAUGCGGAGGAACACCGAUGGCGAAGGCAGCCCCCUGGGCCAAUACUGACGCUCAGGCACGAAAGCGUGGGGAGCAAACAGG
rnacentral:rRNA from 1 species